rnacentral:lncRNA from 1 species
UUCCAGCCGCCUGGAGCCCGCUGCCUCUCCCCGAAACGCCGGGGUCCCCGCCCUUGCCGGUGGCGCCGCGCGGCUGCCCGGGCGCGAGGUGCCCGAGCUCUAUGCGCUCUUUAGGCCGGCCGGCGGGAGGCAGCGGCAAGAGGCGCUUUUCCGGAGCGCCCGCUCGGCAGCAAGGCCUCGGACGGAGGCGAAAUAAAUAAUGCACGAAAAAGGAAAACAGACGUGAGCGGAGCCAGAGCCUCGCCCGCCUCCCGCCCGCGCUCCCCGCCGCCGCCGCCAGCGCCGCUGCAGUGAUUCCUCGUCUCCAUCUAGCGAGGCUAUUGUGUAUUGGGCGCUUAAUAAUUUAUUUAUUCACCCUGGAGGCUGAGGACUCCCAGCUGCUGGGGAUCUUGCCCCUUGCUUGCCCUUUCCCCAAGUUUAUCCUGAGACUGGGAGAACGUGGGAGGAUCUGUCUUGUAGAGACCCCCUCUGCUCUCUGUCUUUGCGGACCCCCAUUCCUCACAGGCUCCGCGGGUCCCAGGACUGUAAGGUGCAGGCCACCGCUCCGGAGGCCAAGUACUUUGUCCCCCCUGCCCUUUGCAGCCGGGCAGUGGGGGCGUGCCUCCAUCCCCCUUCGCAUGCCGGAGGGAGUUGCGAUGGCCUUGGGGAGGGUCUUCCACCACUGCUUUCCUCAACAUCUGCAAAUUCCUCUUCAAGCCAAGACUAUCAACAAGUCGGUUGCGGGAAGGAGCCUGCUACGUCUCCAGCAGACAAGCUACUCCUCGCUUCCGAAGAAGCUUGCAGGCGCGCUCUGGUCUUUCAGACCAACGUCUUGGCGACCUUCUUCAUGUCAGAGCCCCAGGACGCGAUAGAUACUCUUCUCCGUAGGACUCUAGGGAUCCGGAUCCGCCCCUCCACUGCACUGGGGAUGGAACUCAGUACCUUCUGCUUGGGAGGCAGGCGCGUUGCCACUGAGCUAAAUGCCUGGCCCUGCAUUAUCUAAUCUGGUCUUCAGCAUUCCUAUACUGGACCUCUAUGUACCAAUGCACCUCUUGAGAGUCACCUGGCCCUCAUCUUCCUGGCCCAUCCAACACUGCAGAAUGUCACAGCCUCCCUUAGGGUGAAGACAAGCUCCAUUGCAGAUCUCUCAUGCCACAGUAGGACCCAGGGAUGUGCUGGCUCCUCUCGCCCUUUCUGGGUAUAGAUGGUGACCCACACACUGUCACACAGGAUCUGCUUACAGAGGCCACUUGGCAGCUCUACUCAGAAAUGGAAAGGAGUUAAACUUUGGGGGAAAACUUUGGCCAAUGAAAGGCAGGAGAUGAAAGGAACCCAGCAUACGGAUUCCAGUGGUUCCAGUUGACCUGUCAGGAGGUGUCCAGUAGGUGAUUAAGCAACUGGCAAUGUUUUCUCCAGAUAUGUGGCCAGCUUGAUAAUUCACAACUUUGUAUUUGCUCCCCGCCUUACUACCACUUUUCCCUUGUUUUUCUUACCCUAGGAUUUUAUCCCUCAAUAAAGU